UUGAAGGUGCGCUAAUGUUAACAAAAGCUAAUUUGGAAUUAUUAUGUUUGCAUAUUUUGCGCGUUCCUGCUCCCCUGAUGAAUGACGCGUUUGAACAAGAUGUAACGGUCGCUUGCUGCUUCAAGAUGCAGCGUUCGCGCUUGUCUGCCGUGUUUUGACUUUUCGCGUUCGUCUCAGCAUGUCCCAAGUGACAUUUUUGCUCUUAAUGUUAUUAGCGUGACAUGCGACAAUAUAAAUUACAGUGAGCGUCAUCGGCUUCAGUACGACCAGACAGGUGUCAUGCGAUUGCGGCUCUGUGGCAGCUGCGAAGACUGCUUCAUCAUCCUUCACACGGAAAACACGGGUUGCUCUAGAAUCCGCAUAGCUCACCAGAGUACUCGUGGCGUGGAUCGGAAAAGCAUGACGACUGCGAAGCAAUAUGUCGGACUCCACAAGCGCCUUCUAAGGACACAAGGGGGAUACACAGGAAAGUUGAGUGUCUGCGACAUAUGUGUGCAUAGUGAACUAAAUGAAUUAGUAAUGAUAGCUCUUCUGCAGCUCUAUACGUAGAAAACCAACUGAUGACAUGACUUCCACGGCUGCCCGGAAUGCUUCCUGUUUUCCUCAACCGUUUCUGUAAAGUCAGUGAGAAACUGCAUCGUGAAAUACAAAAUGUCUGUUUCAGAAGUGCACAAUAAAAUAAUUCAUGUUUA